UAAGCCGUUGAAGGUGAAUCGUAAGGUUUGCUGGAGGUAUCAGAAGUGCGAAUGCUGACAUGAGUAACGACAAAGGGGGUGAAAAACCUCCUCGCCGGAAGACCAAGGGUUCCUGUCCAACGUUAAUCGGGGCAGGGUGAGUCGACCCCUAAGGUGAGGCCGAAAGGCGUAAUCGAUGGGAAACGGGUUAAUAUUCCCGUACUUCUGACUAUUGCGAUGGGGGGACGGAGAAGGCUAGGUGGGCCAGGCGACGGUUGUCCUGGUUCAAGUGCGUAGGCUUGAGAGUUAGGUAAAUCCGGCUCUCUCUAAGGCUGAGACACGACGUCGAGCUGCUACGGCAGUGAAGUCAUUGAUGCCAUGCUUCCAGGAAAAGCCUCUAAGCUUCAGAUAGUCAGGAAUCGUACCCCAAACCGACACAGGUGGUCGGGUAGAGAAUACCAAGGCGCUUGAGAGAACUCGGGUGAAGGAACUAGGCAAAAUGGUACCGUAACUUCGGGAGAAGGUACGCUCUUGAUGGUGAAGUCCCUCGCGGAUGGAGCUGACGAGAGUCGCAGAUACCAGGUGGCUGCAACUGUUUAUUAAAAACACAGCACUGUGCAAAAUCGCAAGAUGACGUAUACGGUGUGACGCCUGCCCGGUGCCGGAAGGUUAAUUGAUGGGGUUAGCGCAAGCGAAGCUCUUGAUCGAAGCCCCGGUAAACGGCGGCCGUAACUAUAACGGUCCUAAGGUAGCGAAAUUCCUUGUCGGGUAAGUUCCGACCUGCACGAAUGGCGUAAUGAUGGCCACGCUGUCUCCACCCGAGACUCAGUGAAAUUGAAAUCGCUGUGAAGAUGCAGUGUACCCGCGGCUAGACGGAAAGACCCCGUGAACCUUUACUACAGCUUGGCACUGAACAUUGAACCUACAUGUGUAGGAUAGGUGGGAGGCUAUGAAGACGUGACGCCAGUUGCGUUGGAGCCGUCCUUGAAAUACCACCCUUGUAUGUUUGAUGUUCUAACUUAGACCCGUUAUCCGGGUUGAGGACAGUGCCUGGUGGGUAGUUUGACUGGGGCGGUCUCCUCCCAAAGAGUAACGGAGGAGCACGAAGGUGGGCUAAUCACGGUUGGACAUCGUGAGGUUAGUGCAAUGGCAUAAGCCCGCUUAACUGCGAGAAUGACGGUUCGAGCAGGUGCGAAAGCAGGUCAUAGUGAUCCGGUGGUUCUGUAUGGAAGGGCCAUCGCUCAACGGAUAAAAGGUACUCCGGGGAUAACAGGCUGAUACCGCCCAAGAGUUCAUAUCGACGGCGGUGUUUGGCACCUCGAUGUCGGCUCAUCACAUCCUGGGGCUGAAGUCGGUCCCAAGGGUAUGGCUGUUCGCCAUUUAAAGUGGUACGCGAGCUGGGUUUAGAACGUCGUGAGACAGUUCGGUCCCUAUCUGCCGUGGGCGUUGGAAGAUUGAAGGGGGCUGCUCCUAGUACGAGAGGACCGGAGUGGACGAACCUCUGGUGUUCGGGUUGUGUCGCCAGACGCAUUGCCCGGUAGCUAAGUUCGGAAUUGAUAAGCGCUGAAAGCAUCUAAGCGCGAAGCGAGCCCUGAGAUGAGUCUUCCCUGAUACUUUAAGUAUCCUAAAGGGUUGUUCGAGACUAGAACGUUGAUAGGCAGGGUGUGUAAGCGUUGUGAGGCGUUGAGCUAACCUGUACUAAUUGCCCGUGAGGCUUAACCAU
rnacentral:rRNA from 1 species